AUUGAACGCUGGCGGCAUGCCUUACACAUGCAACUCGAACGGUAACGGGCCUUCGGGUGCCGACGAGUGGCGAACGGGUGAGUAAUACAUCGGAACGUGCCCGAUCGUGGGGGAUAACGAGGCGAAAGCUUUGCUAAUACCGCAUACGAUCUACGGAUGAAAGCAGGGGACCGCAAGGCCUUGCGCGGACGGAGCGGCCGAUGGCAGAUUAGGUAGUUGGUGGGAUAAAAGCUUACCAAGCCGACGAUCUGUAGCUGGUCUGAGAGGAUGAUCAGCCACACUGGGACUGAGACACGGCCCAGACUCCUACGGGAGGCAGCAGUGGGGAAUUUUGGACAAUGGGCGCAAGCCUGAUCCAGCCAUGCCGCGUGCAGGAUGAAGGCCUUCGGGUUGUAAACUGAUUUUGUACGGAACGAAAAGCCUUCUUUUAAUACAGGAGGGUCAUGACGGUACCGUAAGAAUAAGCACCGGCUAACUACGUG
rnacentral:rRNA from 1 species